AGGGUUGGUUUAAAGGGUGGAAUGAUAUUCUGCAGGAGCCCAGACCUUCCCAAGGAGGGUGAACAUUUUUUGGAAAUUCGUCUCUUAAGGAGUGGAAAGAGUGGAAGAGGUGUGUAUAGUUCCUUAACUGAAAUAAUUGUGGAAUUGUCCCUUUGCACAGGAUUAGAGAAGAAUGAGAAGAACAGAAGUGAGUGGAUGUCCUUGAAUCACUAAGUGCCUUUGGGUGCUUAACUCUCUUGAGAAUCGUCAGCUCCUCCCAUGAGUCCCUGGGACGCCAGAGGUUCUGAGGUUUUCAGGGCGCUGAGGAGAGACGAAGGCCUCUGGGCGCGAGCUGUCGAACACAGCCAUGUUCUGUCGGUCGGCUCUUCCAUCUCCUGCCCAGGAAUGAAGGGGGUGCCCACUGUGAUUAUCCCGCUGGCCUCGAUGACAGAAGCAGUCCAUGGAAACCAGCCUCCUGCAAACAAUGCUGGGUUGAUACUUUCUCUGCUCCUUUUCCAAGGGGAGGGAGCAGCAGCUGGCUGAUCUAUGAAGUCUUCUGGCCUGGAUUUAGGAGGAUCUGGACUAACGGCCUGUUCUGGGUGAGAUCAUCUUAGCAGGAUUUUAUCCAAGCAAGCCCCUAACCCAGAUCUGCACCAUCGAUUCGGUGCAUUUGAUGUAUAGCAGUGCUACUGAAAACAUGGUCCACCACUGGGAGCAGUAGAAUAUCUUGGGGGUGUUAAGAAUGCGAAUUCUUGGGCCCCCCUCCAGACCUACUAAAUCAGGUGAUUGUUUGGUGUACCAAAGUUGGGAAAAUACUGCUAUGUUAGGUUCAUUCUCUCUCUCUCUCUCUCUCUCUCUCUCUCUCUCUCUCUCUCUCUCUCACACACACACACACACACACACACACACACACACACAGCUGCCUACAGCUCCUGCAGCCACUUGGUCGUUUUCCUGCAGUUUCCCUCAGCAGGGCCCUGGGGUUGUUUUUCUCCACUGUGGACCUUGUUCACUUCCUGCUGCUUCCAAGAAGCUGGGAGAGGAAAGAGCAAGAAUGGAGGCAGGCGGGAGGGGGAAGGGGCUAGUGAAGGCAGUGGAGCUUUCAAGAAUGAAAAGGAAAAUGCUUAGUGACAAUGUCCCUUUGUGAAGAGUUAGCUUUAUGUUGAUGGAGCUGCGAGUCAUUAGCAAUCAGGCCACGUGGUGCAGAGCUGACCUGGUCAUUCUCCAGGGCCAGAUCGCCCUCUGCUGCCGACUGAUAAAUAACACUCCUCAGGGACCCUUGAACUGCCAAGGAAAAGGGGAAGAGUCCCCGGGGCUGGGUGGAACGGCAGACGUGACUAAGGCCAAGAGGUCACAAAGUCACCACUUCAGGCAGCAGAAGAAUCUAGUUAGAUCUGGUUUGCAGGAAAGGAAGAAGUAGCCAGUUCACUGGGUGUUUCCGGAACCCAUCCAACCCCAACAGUGGGGUUCUGCCAAGGUCUCCACCAGCUCCCAUGAUUCCGAGCUCCCCGCUUGAUUUGGCUCGGCAGUCAUGGUUUCCCCCUUCUUCCUCACCCUUACCUCACCUUGAAAAGAGAGGUAUUUAAAAUAGGAAGAGGAAUUUUUUUUUUAGAGGAUGGAAUUUUUUUGGUGUGGAGUCCCCCAGGGGCAGAGGGUCAAGCCUCCAGUUUUUCCUUUGAAAUCUCCCCUUCUCAGUGUCGGUGUCUUUUGCCUCUACGAGAGCACUGUGUCUCUCUGUCUCCUCUUGCCAGGGAACUCUUAUCCCAUGGAUGUGGACUCAGCCCUCCUUUAUUGCCCCACUUAAUUGUUGUUGGGAAUUAUGGUUCAUGUGGGUCACUGGUGAAGAGAGCAAAGAUUUGUUCCCAGAAUAAAAGCUCAAGCACAGCAGUUGCUGCUGCCAGCCACGGGGCAGUGACCCAUUUCCUGCUAGUCCUCGCUUCUGCCUCUUCCCAGCUCUGAUUGGAGAUGGCCACCACCACACCCCGCGCCCUCCGCCUUUGGAUUUCUGCAGAUCGCGGGUUCCUUCUGGGGAGAUACCUUCAGGGUCAGAUCUGGAAAAUUACUGCAACUGCUCUAGAGGAGCUAGGAUGGAGUAGAAGCUGGAAGAAGGAGGGGUGGUGGGCGGGGACAUGGAGCGUGGGGGCGGAGAUGAGACUCUCCCCCGAGCAUCCUGAAGCACAGAGUAAGUUCACCUACACGAUGCCAGGCCCCGCGACCCAGAUAUCUUUAGAGAGGGAUUUGGUUGCUUGCUUGGUUUGGGGUCUCCACGAGACCAAACAUCUGGAUCUUCAGAUACCCACAUUUGGAUGAUUUUAUCUAUAAGCCCCCAGAUAUAUGCUGGUUAUCUCCUUGGAUUAAAAUCAAAGUACUUUA